rnacentral:rRNA from 1 species
GAUGAACGCUGGCGGCGUGCUUAACACAUGCAAGUCGAACGGAAAGGCCCAAGCUUGCUUGGGUACUCGAGUGGCGAACGGGUGAGUAACACGUGGGUGAUCUGCCCUGCACUUCGGGAUAAGCCUGGGAAACUGGGUCUAAUACCGGAUAGGACGAUGGUUUGGAUGCCAUUGUGGAAAGUUUUUUCGGUGUGGGAUGAGCUCGCGGCCUAUCAGCUUGUUGGUGCGGUAAUGGCCUACCAAGGCGUCGACGGGUAGCCGGCCUGAGAGGGUGUACGGCCACAUUGGGACUGAGAUACGGCCCAGACUCCUACGGGAGGCAGCAGUGGGGAAUAUUGCACAAUGGGCGCAAGCCUGAUGCAGCGACGCCGCGUGGGGGAUGACGGCCUUCGGGUUGUAAACUCCUUUCGCUAGGGACGAAGCGUUUUUGUGACGGUACCUGGAGAAGAAGCACCGGCUAACUACGUG